rnacentral:rRNA from 1 species
AACGAACGCUGGCGGCAUGCCUAACACAUGCAAGUCGAACGAGACCUUCGGGUCUAUUUGCGCACGGGUGCGUAACGCGUGGGAACCUGCCCUUAGGUUCGGAAUCCCUCCCCGAAAGGUGUGCUAAUACCGGUUAAUGUCUUCCCACCAAAGAUUUCUCGCCUUUGGAUGGGCCCGCGUUGGAUUAGCUGGUUGGUAGGGUACAAGCAUACCAUCGCCAUGAUGCAUAGCUGGUCGGAGAGGAUGAUCAGCCACGCUGGGACUGAGACACGGACUAGAACCGGACGGAAGGGAGCAGUGGGGAAUAUUGGACAAGGGGCGAAAGUCUGACACAGCAAUGCCGGGUGAGAGGGGAAGGCCUUAGGGUUGUAAAGCUCUUUUACACGGGAUGAUAAUGACAGUACCGGGAGAAUAAGCACCGGCUAACUCCGUG